rnacentral:rRNA from 1 species
GCAAGUCGAACGAGAAAGCCCUUCGGGGUGAGUAGAGUGGCGCACGGGUGAGUAACGCGUAGGUGACCUACCAUGUAGUGGGGGAUAACUAGGAGAAAUUCUAGCUAAUACCGCAUACGUUGAACAAAUUUGAAAGUAGUUCAAGAAAGAAUGCCUCUAUACUAUGCAUUCGCUAUUUGAUGGGCCUGCGAGACAUUAGCUUGAUGGUGGGGUAACGGCCUACCAUGGCGACGAUGUCUAGCGGAUCUGAGAGGAUGAUCCGCCACACUGGAACUGAGACACGGUCCAGACUCCUACGGGAGGCAGCAGUGGGGAAUAUUGCGCAAUGGGCGAAAGCCUGACGCAGCAACGCCGCGUGAGUGAGGAAGGCCUUCGGGUUGUAAAGCUCUGUCAAUGUGGAAAAACUGCUUUAUGUCUAAUAGGCAUAGAGUUUGAUGGUACACAUAAAGGAAGCACCGGCUAACUUCGUGCCAGCAGCCGCGGUAAUACGAAGGGUGCGAGCGUUGUUCGGAUUUAUUGGGCGUAAAGCGGGUGCAGGCGGAUAAGUAAGUCAGAUGUGAAAUCUCGGGGCUCAAACUCGAAACUGCGUCUGAAACUA